UGGUGGAGUGAUUUGUCUGGUUGAUUCCGUUAACGAACGAGACCUUAACCUGCUAAAUAGUUACGCAUAACUUCGGUUAUGCGGGCAACUUCUUAGAGGGACUUUGUAUGUCUAAUGCAAGGAAGUUUGAGGCAAUAACA
rnacentral:rRNA from 1 species